UACAGAGGUCCCAAGCGUUGUUCGGAUUCACUGGGCGUAAAGGGUGCGUAGGUGGUUGGGUAAGUCUGAUGUGAAAUCUCGAAGCUCAACUUCGAAACUGCAUCGGAUACUACUUGACUGGAGGUCUGGAGGGGGGACUGGAAUUCUCGGUGUAGCAGUGAAAUGCGUAGAUAUCGAGAGGAACGCCAAUGGCGAAGGCUAGUCCCUGGACGGAUCCUGACACUGAGGCACGAAAGCUAGGGGAGCAAACAGG
rnacentral:rRNA from 1 species